UGAGAUCGGCGCGUGCUUGCCAAUUCCUAGCUGAACAAGGUUAUGAGGUCAUCAAUGUUCAAGGUGGAAUGACAGCCUUUGAAGAACUUUAAACCUAUAUGGUGAUAGAUCCUAACCUUCCCUUGCUCGGUUCCAUCUGAGUGAGGGAUUUUGU
rnacentral:sRNA from 1 species